rnacentral:tRNA from 1 species
AUUUAUAUAAUAUAAAUUAUUAUAUUUGACUUCCAAUCAAAUUAUCUAGAAUUCUAGUAUAAAUA